rnacentral:tRNA from 1 species
GCAGAAAUAGCUCAGUGGUAGAGCAUGUGCUUAGCAUGCACGACGUCUCGGGUUCAAUUCCCUAGUAUCUUCA